rnacentral:lncRNA from 1 species
GAACCCUGUGAUUACCACCAGCACCCUGGACAGGUUCCAGGUGAUGUCCUGGAGCCUGUCUGACUCUGUGGAGGGACGUCCACAAGACCUGGGAUUCACCUGGAACAGAGCCAGCCUGCCCAACCUGCCUGGGACAGCUCCUCCCACCCACGACGGCACCCUGACCCAUCCCUCCUGGGGGAAAGGUAGUCUUUGCCAAGCUCUUUCUCCACAUCAUCGUCUGCCACAGAUGGCAUUCACUGCCGUCAGCCAUACAUGUUUCCAGGGCAUGAGAGCGUGGAGGGUGCCACAAAGUCCUGGGCUGUUCUGGGCUGUCCCUGAGGCUGUAUGACCCUGGCCCUGCAAUCCCAAAGGAUUAAACUUGCCCCCUCGGAGACAUACCAGGAGCGGUGUCCCGCCAGGGCCAGGGGCUGACAGACGGCCCCUCAGAGCAGGGCCUUGUCUAUUGAGAUUGGGACCUGCUCACCUUAAGCUCCCCACAUUCGUCUCCCCUCUGAUCCCAACUCUUGAUUUAGGUUGCCUCCCUCUCUGCCCGCCCACUAAGGGCUGGAAUGCGGUGACCCUCUAGAUUCUGGAGGGUCUAACAUUGUUAGGAAACCCUGGCUAAAUUGGUCCCACUCCAGCUGGCUUCAGACAUUCCAGGUUCUCGAAGCUGUGCAGUGCCCCUUGUCAAAUUCAUUCCGAACACCUCUGGAACUCAUGCACAUGUGUGGAGCGCCUUCCCACAUCUGGCCUGCAAACCUGUCAUGCUCCCCUAGCAUGUUCCAGCCUCCACUCUCAGCCUCUUCCUAUCCUGGGAGCAGAGCCCCUUGCUUGCUGCAGUGUCUGUCGCCUGGCAUCUGCUUACCAGCAGGUGAGGCAGGCCUGGAACCCGAUCCAGUCCAAGGGUCUCUGCUCCCAGCUCCUCUCCUCUCCAGAAAAGGAUUCAACCCCUUAAGAAAUGGGAAGUCUGUUGAGGUUGGAGUUUCCUAUAUCCUCAUAAAGGAAGAUGGAAAUCCCUUCCACAUGAAGGGCAGCAAGGGCCUUGGACAUACCACCUGCCCCACAGAGCAGCCAGCCUCUAGACAAGUGGGAAUGUUUGUCCUAGGCAAAACCAUCCUCUAAGCCCUCACCUGAAUGAUGA